CGAAAAGUUUGUGUGCUUUCCCAAAUUCUCUACUAUCAGUUCUCCUCCAUUUAUCAGAAGGAGCAAAAAUGAUCCUGUGGCUUAACUUGGUCUCCUUACUAGCGGUCUUUAGAGGUGUCCGAUCCCAGGUCCUAUUGGUGGAGUCUGGAGGGGAUGUGAGAAGACCUGGAGGGUCCCUCCGUCUCUCCUGCCAAGGUUCUGGAUACAACUUUGGUGGCUACAGCAUGAGCUGGGUGAGACAGGCUCCGGGGAAAGGACUGGAAUGGGUUGCACGCAUCUAUUCUGAUUCCAGUGGAAAGUUCUACUCAGACAAAGUGAAGGGACGCUUCACCAUCUCCAGGGACAAUGCCAAAAGCCAGAUGUAUCUGCAGAUGAGCAGCCUCAAAGCUGAAGACACGGCUGUCUAUUACUGUGCUAGAUACACAGUGAGAGGAAGUGAAUCUGAAUCCAGACAAGAACCUUCUGUCCCUUAGAGCAGAUCUCCAACUGGAUUCAGUCCCAGAAAGUUGAAUUUGAGUCUUUGAACUGAGCAGAAGGUGAUCAAUCUACAUCACAGCAAUAGACAUAUUCCAUGGAUCUGU